UGCCGGGUCGUAUAAUGGUAGUACGAUGGACUCUGGAUCCAUCUAUCUAGGUUCAAAUCCUAGCCCGGCAA
rnacentral:tRNA from 5 species